AUCAUCUCUUAAAGCUUCACUUCAACUUCACUAUUUCUGUAGUCUCAUCUUGAGUAAAAGAGAACCCAGACAACUAUGAAGUUCCUUGUCUUUGCCUUCAUCUUGGCUCUCAUGGUUUCCAUGAUUGUAAGUAUAUCAGGACAUUUGAAGAAUAUGUUCUCAGUACCUAUCCCAAGAGUCUCUCUAUUCCUUGUGUUCUGGCAUAUAUUGGUGUUUACUUGAAUACAGCUUUAUAUGUUUAAAUGUUUCCAUAUGAACUUUUUUUUGUACUAACCUACAUAAGUUAUAUAAGGAUUUAGAAUAAAUAGUCAUUAUUCAUCUACAGACACUAAAGUAUAUUUAGCUUAGUGUGAAAUAAAAGAUUUACUGAACUUCUUAAAUAUGUGGAACUGAGAGCUUGUAAAAGUAUCUUUAAACAUGUGAUGCUCUAGACAAUCUGAAGUUAGAAAUCUCAGGAAUGAACUAGGUGCACUUGAGUGGAAUUCAAGUAUUAGAAGAUGUCAAAGUAGAAAUUUUCAAGUCGUUCCUUGCAAAAACUAACUUAAAAUUAGUAUACAAUUAUUUAGCACACACUUUCUAAAAUAAAGCUGCUUAUUUUUAACUAUAAAACAAAACUUCAGAUCUAUGACAUGUUAUGAGUUCCCAGCUUGUAUUGUCAUUUACUACUGUGUAUCACUAGGUAAAGCACUUGACUUCUCUGGAGCUCUUUCUUCUACUCUACUUCCUUCUCUUUCUCCUGUCCCUUUUCUAUGACAUUAGUAGGAAACUGGCCAUGAAA
rnacentral:sRNA from 1 species